rnacentral:misc_RNA from 1 species
GCACUGUGCAGAACGUAAGUUGUUUAAUUGUACAUUUUUCUGUAGUAAUCGCGUGAUAAAAGUGCUUAAUGAUUGCGAACUUUUGUCGGGAGUGCCGAUUAAAGUAACGGGCGAUUGUCAAAACAUAUGAAUUACCGUAAAUAUUUUCAAUUAGCCACGUGAAUUGUUUCGCGACCGGAUCGUAGAUUCAAAGAGGUUAUAAUCUCAGUAAUCUGAAUUAAAAUAAAUAGCGGUUAGCUGUGUAUGUUUCGUACGUAAUAAUAUUCAAUCACCAAACGGUCGUCGUUCAUCUCGCUUGCUCUAAGUGCAUCUACAGGGUCGAAUCUUCGAUGGAACUGAUGCGAAGUAGACCGAGGCAAAUUCUACAACAAGUGGAGCAAAUCAUCAUACAUUUAUGUAACUAAAGGUGUAUUUAGCUGAAGAAGUACAACAAAUCGCACAAUUCGCUGUCAUCCGCCACGCGGGGAUUCUGACGAAUCGCAUAAGCAGCGAGCGGUUGGUCCAUUGUCGGUGAUUUAGGACAACUCGAUCCUUCCAGUUCGGCUGAGAAAAUUUCACGAGGGCGACGACUACAUAAUUCGUGCACGGAUCGCCGCAUCAUCGACGAUCACGCUUCUCGAGGAAGAAACGCACGGGCACUAACACACCUGGUGUAACCGGCAGCGGCGAUCCUCGCUGACACAAUGGGACACGUACCACCACGGAGUAAAGGGUUGCAAGAAGACGAGAGUCUUCCGGGAAGCGAUGAAAGACUCUCGCUUGUUGGUCAGGUGUGCUGUACAUUGCUGAAGGAACGACCAGUUUUAUACGGGGUCAGCCUGGCUCUUCAGCAACCGUGUCAGAGGUCGUGAGAUCGCUAUUGCUCGAAAUCUCAUGCAGAAAUAUUUAGAUUACACGCUGCAUUACUUUUUUUUUGUGUAACCGUUUAAGCGCCACAGAAAGGGGAUCAUAUAAAAUGAAUGCAAAUUAAAAAUUGAGAGAAGUAUAAGAGCAACAGUAUUUCUAUCGAGUAUGAUGUAAGAUAUAUGGAAUCUGCCGUUCUUACCCAUUGAAAAAUGAAAUAAAUAAAAUUACGGCAAGAAGUGUGACGUUUUGAUUUCGCAAGAAUAAAGUCUCAACACGA